rnacentral:rRNA from 1 species
AUACGGAGGGUCCAAGCGUUAUCCGGAUUCAUUGGGUUUAAAGGGUCCGCAGGCGGGAAAAUAAGUCAGUGGUGAAAGCCUACAGCUCAACUGUAGAACUGCCAUUGAUACUGUUUUUCUUGAGUAUAGAUGAAGUGGGCGGAAUAUAUCAUGUAGCGGUGAAAUGCAUAGAUAUGAUAUAGAACACCGAUUGCGAAGGCAGCUCCCUAAACUAUUACUGACGCUCAGGGACGAAAGCGUGGGGAGCGAACAGGAUUAGAAACCCUAGUAGUCC